AUUGAACGCUGGCGGCAGGCUUAACACAUGCAAGUCGAGCGGGGAAGAGUAGCUUGCUACUUAACCUAGCGGCGGACGGGUGAGUAAUGCUUAGGAAUCUGCCUAUUAGUGGGGGACAACAUCUCGAAGGGGAUGCUAAUACCGCAUACGUCCUACGGGAGAAAGCAGGGGACCUUCGGGCCUUGCGCUAAUAGAUGCGCCUUACUCGGAUUAGCUAGCUGGUGGGGUAAAGGCCUACCAAGGCGACGAUCUGUAGCGGGUCUGAGAGGAUGAUCCGGCACGCUGGGACUGAGACACGGCCGAGAAGCCUACGGGAGGCAUCAGUGGGGAAUAUUAGACAAUGGGGGGAACCCUGAUCCAGCCAUGCCGCGUGUGUGAAGAAGGCCGUUUGGUUGUACAGCACUUUAAGCGAGGAGGAGGCUACCGAGAUUAAUACUCUGGGAUAGUGGACGUUACUCGCAGAAUAAGCACCGGCUAACUCUGUGCCAGCCGCCGCCGUAACAC
rnacentral:rRNA from 1 species